rnacentral:rRNA from 1 species
AUGGGCGUCGACCGGCGCACGGGUGAGUAACGCGUAUCCAACCUGCCCACCACUUGGGGAUAACCUUGCGAAAGUAAGACUAAUACCCAAUGAUAUCUCUAGAAGACAUCUGAAAGAGAUUAAAGAUUUAUCGGUGAUGGAUGGGGAUGCGUCUGAUUAGCUUGUUGGCGGGGUAACGGCCCACCAAGGCGACGAUCAGUAGGGGUUCUGAGAGGAAGGUCCCCCACAUUGGAACUGAGACACGGUCCAAACUCCUACGGGAGGCAGCAGUGAGGAAUAUUGGUCAAUGGACGAGAGUCUGAACCAGCCAAGUAGCGUGCAGGAUGACGGCCCUAUGGGUUGUAAACUGCUUUUAUAAGGGAAUAAAGUGAGUCUCGUGAGACUUUUUGCAUGUACCUUAUGAAUAAGGACCGGCUAAUUCCGUGCCAGCAGCCGCGGUAAUACGGAAGGUCCGGGCGUUAUCCGGAUUUAUUGGGUUUAAAGGGAGCGUAGGCCGGAGAUUAAGCGUGUUGUGAAAUGUAGAUGCUCAACAUCUGCACUGCAGCGCGAACUGGUUUCCUUGAGUACGCACAAAGUGGGCGGAAUUCGUGGUGUAGCGGUGAAAUGCUUAGAUAUCACGAAGAACUCCGAUUGCGAAGGCAGCUCACUGGAGCGCAACUGACGCUGAAGCUCGAAAGUGCGGGUAUCGAACAGGAUUAGAUACCCUGGUAGUCCGCACGGUAAACGAUGGAUGCCCGCUG